AGAGCGAACGCUGGCGGCAGGCUUAACACAUGCAAGUCGAGCGCCCCGCAAGGGGAGCGGCAGACGGGUGAGUAACGCGUGGGAACGUACCUUUUGGUUCGGAACAACACAGGGAAACUUGUGCUAAUACCGGAUAAGCCCUUACGGGGAAAGAUUUAUCGCCGAAAGAUCGGCCCGCGUCUGAUUAGCUAGUUGGUGAGGUAACGGCUCACCAAGGCGACGAUCAGUAGCUGGUCUGAGAGGAUGAUCAGCCACAUUGGGACUGAGACACGGCCCAAACUCCUACGGGAGGCAGCAGUGGGGAAUAUUGGACAAUGGGCGCAAGCCUGAUCCAGCCAUGCCGCGUGAGUGAUGAAGGCCCUAGGGUUGUAAAGCUCUUUUGUGCGGGAAGAUAAUGACGGUACCGCAAGAAUAACGCCCGGCUAACUUCGUGCCAGCAGCCGC
rnacentral:rRNA from 1 species